AACGAACGCUGGCGGCAGGCCUAACACAUGCAAGUCGAGCGCGCCCUUCGGGGUGAGCGGCGGACGGGUGAGUAACGCGUGGGAACGUGCCCUUUUCUACGGAAUAGCCUCGGGAAACUGAGAGUAAUACCGUAUACGCCCUUUGGGGGAAAGAUUUAUCGGAAAAGGAUCGGCCCGCGUUGGAUUAGGUAGUUGGUGGGGUAAUGGCCUACCAAGCCGACGAUCCGUAGCUGGUUUGAGAGGAUGAUCAGCCACACUGGGACUGAGACACGGCCCAGACUCCUACGGGAGGCAGCAGUGGGGAAUCUUAGACAAUGGGGGCAACCCUGAUCGAGCCAUGCCGCGUGAGUGAUGAAGGCCUUAGGGUUGUAAAGCUCUUUCAGCUGGGAAGAUAAUGACGGUACCAGCAGAAGAAGCCCCGGCUAACUCCGUG
rnacentral:rRNA from 1 species